UACGGGGGGGGCAAGCGUUGUUCGGAAUUACUGGGCGUAAAGGGCUCGUAGGCGGCCAACUAAGUCAUACGUGAAAUCCCCGGGCUCAACCCGGGAACUGCGUCCGAUACUGGCAGGCUUGAAUCCGGGAGAGGGAUGCGGAAUUCCAGGUGUAGCGGUGAAAUGCGUAGAUAUCUGGAGGAACACCGGUGGCGAAGGCGGCAUCCUGGACCGGCAUUGACGCUGAGGCGCGAAAGCCAGGGGAGCAAACGGG
rnacentral:rRNA from 1 species